rnacentral:rRNA from 1 species
CAGCCGCCGCGGGAAAACGUAGGGCGCAAGCGUUAUCCGGAAUUAUUGGGCGUAAAGAGCUCGUAGGCGGUUUGUCGCGUCUGCCGUGAAAGUCCGGGGCUCAACCCCGGAUCUGCGGUGGGUACGGGCAGACUAGAGUGAUGUAGGGGAGACUGGAAUUCCUGGUGUAGCGGUGAAAUGCGCAGAUAUCAGGAGGAACACCGAUGGCGAAGGCAGGUCUCUGGGCAUUAACUGACGCUGAGGAGCGAAAGCAUGGGGAGCGAACAGGAUUAGAUACCCCAGUAGUCCCUGUCUCUUAUAA